rnacentral:rRNA from 1 species
CCCUUAGAUGUUCUGGGCCGCACGCGCGCUACACUGAUGCACUCAACGAGUCUCCACCUUGACCGAGAGGUCCGGGAAACCUUCGAACUUGCAUCGUGAUGGGGAUAGAUUAUUGCAACUAUUAAUCUUCAACGAGGAAUACCUAGUAGGCGCAUGUCAUCAGCGUGCGUCGAUUACGUCCCUGCCCUUUGUACACACCGCCCGUCGCACCUACCGAUUGAAUGGUCCGGUGAAGCCUCCGGAUUGGCGCGCACCUCGGUGCCGCCGAGAAGUUGGCUAAACCUUACCAUUUAGAGGAAGGUGAAGUCGUAACA